GCAGGCUGUCUGUCUUGCACUCAGACCGAGUUUCUGUCAACGUACAUUUCAGACCAGGGAGAGAACUCUCUCUCUCGCUCUCUCUCUCUCUCUCUCUCUCUCUCUCUCUCUCUCUCACUCUCACUCUCUCACUCUCUCUCAUAAAUUGCUGUGUGUGUUCAUACUUGUACAAGUCCCUGUAUGUCUGUAUGUACUGUAUGUGUGUGUGUGUGCUGCCUGUGUGUCCCAGUGCUCCAGUCCUGUCUGAGAGGGGGAUCAGGGCCUGAAAUCUAGGUCCUCUACGUCUGGGUAAUCAAUCACCUAGGGGUUGGCCUUUUACACUAUGCUGGUGUAGGGCACAAAUCAGCAUACGGUUAACACAUAAUAACACAACACCACAAAGGAUCAUGGUCUACUUCCUAGACAGGAAUAUCACUGUACUACUACAGUGUAGUUACCACAAUACACACUCUAAACCCAAUGUCACUAUUGAUAGGUCUUUGAGCAUCGACAGACACAACUUGUUGUUGAAAGGGGUUCAGUCGUCUAUUCAUAUCCUGUUUUACUGUAUGUGUUUAAUGUUCAGUAUAUCUUCAUACAUACAUUGACCCACAAAGUGUGAAUCAACAUCUAUGAAAGCGUUGUUACUAUGGCUACAGUAUAUUCUGUGGUUUGUUCCACAGGCCCACGGCUGUUUUAGAACCAUCUCUGUUAUUCUUUAUCCUUAAUUGACUGGCAGUCGGAGCAUAUUCAUCCCAGAUCUCCAGAGUUGAACUCUCCACAGACAGAGUGGUGCUCAGUCAAUGAUGGCUCAGAACAAAAGAGCUGGGAUCGCUGUGCAGACCUGCCGUAAAGCUGCAGAAUUAUACUGGGCUUUUGGGAUCCUUCCACAAUCGUCUUAGAGGGCUCCCUGGAAUCACAAGUUCAGUUGGAGUAUGUCAGUAAUGUACUGCAUAUUGUUUAUAUUUCCAUGAAUCCAUUUAUUUCCAUGAAUUCCAGUAGCUAGGCCUACGGUAUGCUGUUGUCACUGCAAAAUAUAUGAAUUCAAUAAGAUGAUUUUAAAACAUUGAAAGACAAAACUGUAAAACAUUAUCCUAAAUAUAAACCAUGAACUUAGUGAAUACCAUUGGUGUUUAAUAUGAAGGUUUCAGCAUGAAAUAUCCUCUAUUACUUUACACACUUUUUAUUUAUUUUACUAUGUCAAUAUGUAUUUGUUGUCAAUGUUAGGCGUCAAACUGUUGGCAGUUGUGAAAAAAUGAAAUAGUUGGACAAGUUGCAGAGUUAAUAGAAAAUAAUGUAAUUGUUGAUUAGAUACUUUUCCAUUAACUCUGCUAUUUUCUCUUGAACCAUAUGUUCUAUCUACUAGACACUCAUGGGCAAUAUGGACACAGAUAUAACAAAAAUAAUAUCAUGUAUGAAUACGUUUUUUUAAAUACCAAAGUUACGAUAGAUUGCUAUAGAUUUUCUGUUAAUGAUCAAAUUUAGUGAAGAUUCCAGUAACUUUGGUAAACUACCGGUAGCUUGCAACCCUAGCUAGGCUACUAUAUUGUGUAGGUAAAAUGUUUGGUUUUAUAAUGACUUGAACAUUUGACUGCCUUGCUUUAAAUAAUAUCCCACAAUGAUUGAAAUAUUUCACCUCUAUUUUCCACAAGGCCGUGUAAUAGAUGAAUGUAGGCUACUAAAACACAGCUUUGUAACCACUAGUCUUUUUUCUCCUGCAGCUACAGCGCUAACAACAACUAUCCCAUCAUCCUAUCUGAUUACUGAUGUGCUCUUUACUAACAGAGGUGCAUUAUAGAACAGGUGUAGCUCCUUCCUGCAGUCAAAUGGCCCAGUGGCCUCAUGGGUGGAAUGCUAUUCAUAUUCUUCAUCAUUUCAUUAUUUUAUUUUUUACAUUUCUGGUGUUUUGUUGAAAAACUUUUUUGUUAUAUUUCAGUCUUCUGUGAUGUAUAUAAAGUGUAAUACUGUGAUGCAAACUCAAAAUGUAAUACAUUUCAACUCUUUAUCUGACAUGGUACAGGUGUCUUCUUUUUUAAGGUCCAUAACCAUGUGUAUGAGGUGUAUACUUUUGUUUGAGACUACCAAGAAACACCCUGUGGGACCCUGAUUUAGUCCACUGCAGUAAAGGUUAUUAAAAUGUCUUCAUUUGGAAUAUAUCAGCUGGGGAUGUGCCAGACUGUGCAGACAAACGUACGUGCCAAAUGGCAAUCUAUUUCCUAUUUAGUGCACUACUUUGUAUUCCCUACUUAGUCCACUACUUUGUAUUCCCUACUUAGUGCACUACUUUGACCAAAGUAGUGCACUACACAGGGAAUAGGGUGCCAUUUGGGAUACAUAUAUAUUUACACUUGUGUGUAUAAGGUAGCAGUUGUGGAAUUGUUAGGUUAGAUUACUCGUUGGUUACUACUGCAUUGUCGGAUCUAGAAGCACAAGCAUUUCGCUACACUCGCAUUAACAUCUGCNNNNNNNNNNAUCUGAUUACUGAUGUGCUCUUUACUAACAGAGGUGCAUUAUAGAACAGGUGUAGCUCCUUCCUGCAGUCAAAUGGCCCAGUGGCCUCAUGGGUGGAAUGCUAUUCAUAUUCUUCAUCAUUUCAUUAUUUUAUUUUUUACAUUUCUGGUGUUUUGUUGAAAAACUUUUUUGUUAUAUUUCAGUCUUCUGUGAUGUAUAUAAAGUGUAAUACUGUGAUGCAAACUCAAAAUGUAAUACAUUUCAACUCUUUAUCUGACAUGGUACAGNNNNNNNNNNGGGGGGGGGGGGGGGGCUACACUACAGUAGGCUGAACCUGAGUGAUGCUUCUCCGGGGAUGAACUCUUCCCAGGCUGCAAUGGGCUUCAUGCUAGCAGUUAGAGGAGAGACAGGAGACACCCUGAGGCUAGCCUGGUUCCAUCUCUGUUUGAGCUGUCUUGCUAACUCCUUUGGCCGGCAAUGACCAUAGAAGUUGGCAAGACAGCACAGAUGUGGAACCAGGCUAGCCUCAUGGUGUCUCCUGUCUCUCCUCUAACUGCUCCAACCUCCAUCCAUAGCUGGAUGCUCAGCUACUGUAGCUAGGUUACGAUGUCACAGCCAACGGAAAACAACACCAGGAAACAAGAACAUAGAGGACUGAGAAGUGCUCUCUCUCUCUCUCUUCUAAUACUGGGAUACUGUAUGUUCUGUUAGGCUUACCUACAGGGGAUGAGCGGUUUUCAAUGUGGCAGCGAUGGAAUGAACUCUGAAAGGAGGUGAUCCUUUCUUAGACUUUUAGGGAUGAAAAUAAAUUCAUGAUAGACUUUGUGGCCGAUUCUGAGUUACAGAGUAAGCAAAACAAACAUGGCAGAGGAGGACAUUCUCGUGUCAAUGUGACGGUUAAAUAUCAAAUACAAAAGGCUGGGGGACUAUAUUGAACAAUGAAUACUCCCAUAGAUUUGGUCAUGUGAAGGGAAUACAAGCAUGCAAUCACAGUUCCUCUAGCAGUUACAGCUUAUAGUUUAGCCUAAAACACCCCCAAAGAUAUGGGGUGUAUUAAUUCAUGCACACUGCAGAAAACCGAAGCAAAAGUAUUUUCAACGGAACACUUUUUGCAAUGAAAACUAGCUUUUCUUUUUAGAAAAGUUCAGGUUAAUCCCUUGUUGUUUCGACCCAUUAUCAACCCACACUGGAUCCUUCAGCUAUCCUGAUGAGGUAGCUACAUCGGUACAGUACAGCACUGUGACACAACGGUGAUGCAAGGUAUGUUAGGAAUGCCACAUGCUGUUGGAGAGUUAUUUCCUCUCAUAAAGUUGCGUCUGGCCCGGCACUCUGGGCAGAUAUAAAGGAGUCAUGUGAAGUGGGAGAACAGUCAGGAAUUCAUGUUCCCUAGAGAAGAGCAGCCAGUUGUUUCAAUCCUUCACAGGUUGAGAGAGAGAGAGAGAGAGAGAGAGAGAGAGAGAGAGAGAGAGAGAGAGAGAGAGNNNNNNNNNNCGUGUCAAUGUGACGGUUAAAUAUCAAAUACAAAAGGCUGGGGGACUAUAUUGAACAAUGAAUACUCCCAUAGAUUUGGUCAUGUGAAGGGAAUACAAGCAUGCAAUCACAGUUCCUCUAGCAGUUACAGCUUAUAGUUUAGCCUAAAACACCCCCAAAGAUAUGGGGUGUAUUAAUUCAUGCACACUGCAGAAAACCGAAGCAAAAGUAUUUUCAACGGAACACUUUUUGCAAUGAAAACUAGCUUUUCUUUUUAG
rnacentral:lncRNA from 13 species